rnacentral:rRNA from 1 species
GACGAACGCUGGCGGCGUGCCUAAUACAUGCAAGUCGAGCGAACAGACGAGGAGCUUGCUCCUCUGACGUUAGCGGCGGACGGGUGAGUCACACGUGGAUAACCUACCUAUAAGACUGGGAUAACUUCGGGAAACCGGAUCUAAUACCGGAUAAUAUAUUGAACCGCAUGGUUCAAUAGUGAAAGACGGUUUUGCGGGCACUAAUAGAUGGAUCCGCGCGGCAUGAGCUAGUUGGUAAGGUAACGGCUUACCAAGGCAACGAUGCGUAGCCGACCUAAGAGAGUGAUAGGCGACCUUGGAGCUGAGACACGGUCCAGACUCCUACGAGAGGCAGCAGAAGGGAAUCUUCCGCAAUGGGCGAGAGCUUGACGGAGCAACGCGGCGUGAGUGAUGAAGGUCUUCGGAUCGGAAAACUCUGUUAUGAGGGAAGAACAAAUGUGUAAGUAACUGUGCACGUAUUGACGGUACCUGGUCAGAAAGCCACGGCUAACUACGUG